UGAGGAAUAUUGGUCAAUGGGCGAGAGCCUGAACCAGCCAAGUAGCGUGCAGGAUGACGGCCCUAUGGGUUGUAAACUGCUUUUAUGUGGGGAUAAAGUGAGCUACGUGUAGUUUAUUGCAGGUACCACAUGAAUAAGGACCGGCUAAUUCCGUGCCAGCAGCCGCGGUAAUACGGAAGGUUCAGGCGUUAUCCGGAUUUAUUGGGUUUAAAGGGAGCGUAGGCCGUGGAUUAAGCGUGUUGUGAAAUGUAGACGCUCAACGUCUGAAUUGCAGCGCGAACUGGUUCACUUGAGUAUGCACAACGUAGGCGGAAUUCGUCGUGUAGCGGUGAAAUGCUUAGAUAUGACGAAGAACUCCGAUUGCGAAGGCAGCUUACGGGAGCACAACUGACGCUGAAGCUCGAAGGUGCGGGUAUCAAACAGGAUUAGAUACCCUGGUAGUCCGCACAGUAAACGAUGGAUGCCCGUUGUUAGUUCACUUUAGAAUUAGCGACCAAGCGAAAGCAUUAAGCAUCCCACCUGGGGAGUACNCCGGCNACGGUG
rnacentral:rRNA from 1 species